rnacentral:lncRNA from 13 species
CUUCCGGCACAGCCUGCAGCCCUGGAAGACAUCAAUAUGUUGUCUCACGUCCGAUGAAGAAAGAAAACAGCAUCCUAAACACAUCCCACUCCCUGAGGGUGCAGAACUCUUGGAUGACAAAGAGGCAGCCAUGGAAUGACGCAGCACAGAGGCCCUCAUCAGGGGCUGGCGCCAUGCUCUUGGACUUCCCAGCCUCCAGAACGAAAGAUCAUACAUCCAAGCUUCUCUGACUGCUAGAUACAACCAUGUAACUGAGCACUGACCCGUAAGAUGAAAGCAGAUGUCAAGCUUUUGGCAUACUCCUUAAUGUGAUCUCAGUGUUUUUGCACUUCUUCAUUUCUACUGCCUGGAAUACUGAUAUGACUUUCGGAGCUCUGACAGCCAUCUUGGACUACGAGGUGAUCUUAAGAAAGGUUGUCAUGUGCUAAAAAUAAUGGAGUGAAGCAAGAAGAACCUUAGGUCCUUGUUACCUUAGAUCUACAUUUCCAGACGUGGACUACCUAACUCUGAACUUCUUUUACAUGAGAGAAAAAAACCCCAAAGUUUUGAAGCCCCUAUUGUCUUGUGUUUGCUGUUAUUUACACCUAAAACUAGAAGUUGUGACCUCUUAUUCCUGGUCUGGCUGAAUAACACAUCUAGAACAAAGCUCAUUAAGCUGAAUUCUAAAACGACAUCUUCACUCCAGUUAUCUAAGGUGGUUAAUGACAGUUAUACAUGGAGGGACUCUAGCAGCUAAUUCUGUUCACCCUUUAAGACCCAGCUCAGGGGUUGAUAUGGUUUGACUCUGUGUCCCCACCCAAAUCUCAUCUCAAAUUGUAAUCCUCAUAAUCCCCAUGAGUCGAGGGAAGAACCGACCUGGCAGGAGGUGAUUGGAUUAUAGGGUCAGUUUCCCCAUGCUGUUCUC